CAGUAGCCACGGUAAUACGUAGGGUGCGAGCGUUAAUCGGAAUUACUGGGCGUAAAGCGUGCGCAGGCGGUUAUGUAAGACAGAUGUGAAAUCCCCGGGCUCAACCUGGGAACUGCAUUUGUGACUGCAUGGCUAGAGUACGGUAGAGGGGGAUGGAAUUCCGCGUGUAGCAGUGAAAUGCGUAGAUAUGCGGAGGAACACCGAUGGCGAAGGCAAUCCCCUGGACCUGUACUGACGCUCAUGCACGAAAGCGUGGGGAGCAAACAGGAUUAGAUACCCCCGUAGUCCCUGUCUCUUAUAC
rnacentral:rRNA from 1 species